GGCAUCGGUAGCCUAGAGUUCGUGAAAUGUGGUUGUCAGCCGAUGCGUCUAAGAUGCGGUGGGCAUCGAUAGCCUAGAGUUCGUGAAAUGUGGUCUUCAGGAGUAAGAAGCCAGGAGCUGAAGGGAGGAGACACGGCUGACAGGACUCCGCAAGAACCGUGGAAAGAGACGGCUGGAGUUGGCAUGCUCUGUCUCUGACCUUCAGCCCAGCAGUAAGACUGAGAAGUCUGUCCUUUGGAGGCUUGAGGCUGCCAGACACGCUUCCGCCUCUGCCUGCGGGGGAAGGGGAAGCUUCUGGUAGACUUGCUGUAAGGCAGAAUACUCUCAGUGUUGCGCAAGGCAGACGGCCUUUGGGGGAAGGGAGCUUUGCUGCUAAUGGUUAGGGGGACCAGCCCUGGUGUAGAUUCUCACAACAAUCUGUGGUUUCCUGGGGACUCGGCCCAGACUAGGCCUUUGAAGAACCCCAAGAUGGGAAGCGUCCAGUCCAGAGACGUCCAGAGCAGAGCGCUUUGGAAGUUCAGAUGCGGAGAAAGAUAUCUAGAACUUCCAGAACAAGUGCAGACAGAAUCCAUUUCAGUUUUGUAGCAGAAGCUCUAGUGUUCUGGCAAUGUCCUCACUUCUCUUGUUGAUUUCCAGCUCUCACUGUAGCCCAAGUUGGCCUCAUAGCAUCCUUUCUGCAUCAUCUCUAGUGCUGUGGAUCCAGCUGUGAGCCUCCACUCCUGCCUGGACCACCCGUUUCUAUUGUGGAAUUAACAAUUCAUAGGAAAUACGGCUCUAAAGAGUGACAGAAGCUUUCAAAGUUGAUCUUAAGAAUGCAAUGGAUGACAUGAAUUGAUCUGA